AUAAUAAUUAGUCUUUUAAUUGGAGGCUGGAAUGAAAGAUUGAACGAAAUAAUUUCUGUCUCAAUUAAGUUAAAAAUUUGAAUUUUAUUUUUAAGUUAAAAAGCUUAAAUUUGAUUAUAGGACGAGAAGACCCUAUAGAGUUUUAUAUUAUUUAGAAUAAUUUAUUUUAAUUUAAUUAUUAUUAUAUUUAAAUAUUUUGUUGGGGUGAUAAAAAAAUUUAAUUAACUUUUUUAGUUUAAUUUACAUUAAUAAAUGAAUAAUUGAUCCUAAUUUUUAGAUUGUUAGAUUAAAUUACCUUAGGGAUAACAGCGUAAUUUUUUUAUUAAGUUCUUAUUGAUAAAUAAGUUUGC
rnacentral:rRNA from 1 species